rnacentral:lncRNA from 1 species
AGAUUGUGAUCUAAAGAGAUAAGGAUCAUAAUAUGUUUUACAAUUAGGAAUAUGAUUUGUUUUGUGGUUAUAUAAGCAAUGUCAUGUGUAGACAUAUGCUAUGAGUUGUGUGAGUGAUUUUGAUAUUGUGAUUGAGAACUUGAUUGAAUAAGAGAAGGACUUCUUAUUGAUAUUGCUUGUGAUAUUCUAUAUUUGGUAUCAGAGCCACAAGCACACAUAAGAAACUUGAAAAUCAUAUUCAACAAACAAUGAGCGACGUCAAAGAAGAGGUCACGAUGCAUAAGGAAACCAGACCCGCCUCCAUCAAAUUCCCGAUGCUAACAUCAUCCAAUUACACCGUC